UGUAUUUGGGGACUGUGAACUGAUUGACUGCUUGUACAUAAUAGCAAGCAGAAAGGGACCUUAGAGAUCACUUAGUCCAAGAGUCUUACCCUUUCUUUGUAUCAUGGAUCUUUUCAGUGGGUGGAACUUAAAGACUCCUUAGAAAAAUGUUUUCUGUUUGUGGCAGCCCUGUCUGUAGUGGCUAGAAGCUGGAAAAUGAAUGGAUGCCCAUCAACUGGAGAAUGGCCACAGCAACCACACCCUUCCAUCUGGAAGCUAUUGUGAAGAUUCAGAGAGGCUCCUCCAUUGCAGUAAUUGGCUUGAUUAGAAACUACUAAGGAGUGGAGGACCAGAAUCUCCCUGGAGACCAGGGGCAGACACUAGAACUGCAGACCAAAAUAAGGUCAAGGCCAGAAAUGGUAGUUCAGCUGCGAAAAGGUACAUGGGAAAGGCCACAAUCAUGAAUUUGCUCAGAACCAUGUGGCAAGUGCAGACCAAUUACACCAUUCAAAUUUAAAGUCACAUGAUCAACUGUGAUGGACUUGGCUUUUCUCACCAAUGUGAUGAUUCAAGUAAUUCCAAUAGACCUGGAGAUG